rnacentral:rRNA from 1 species
AGUGAACGCUGGCGGCAGGCCUAACACAUGCAAGUCGAGCGGAUGAAGGGAGCUUGCUCCUGGAUUCAGCGGCGGACGGGUGGGUAAUGCCUAGGAAUCUGCCUGGUAGUGGUUGAUAACGUCCGGAAACGGGCGCUAAUACCGCAUACGUCCUGACGAAGAAAGUGGGGGAUCUUCGGACCUCACGCUAUCAGAUGAUCCUAGGUCGGAUUAGCUAGUUGGUGGGGUAAAGGCCUACCAAGGCGACGAUCCGUAACUGGUCUGAGAGGAUGAUCGGUCACACUGGAACUGAGACACGGUCCAGACUCCUACGGGAGGCAGCAGUGGGGAAUAUUGGACAAUGGGCGAAAGCCUGAUCCAGCCAUGCCGCGUGUGUGAAGAAGGUCUUCGGAUUGUAAAGCACUUUAAGUUGGGAGGAAGGGCAGUAAGUUAAUACCUUGCUGUUUUGACGUUACCCACAGAAUAAGCACCGGCUAACUUCGUG